GAAAUGUUAGGAUAAGUAAUCCAAUAGAUUGUGGUUCUAGAAAUAUAUGAUAUACAUUUAA
rnacentral:tRNA from 1 species